UUUGAUCAUCUGCACCUGUGGCAGUUGCAGAUAGGUCUACUUAAACCUCAAAUGUUGGUUACACCUUCAGUUGUGGCAGGAACCAUGGGAGGUGUUUGGAUUCUGAUCGUAUGCACAGUGGCACUUUGGUGCAAAGGCUCUUGCUUGCCAAUUGAUCAGACUGGAGGCAUAUACUAUGACGAACAGAGGACUAGCAACUUCUUGCCUCUAAAAGAAAUUUCUCUGAAGAAACCACUCCAGUUAUUGGCUUCCAGGUUGACAGCAAAUUCUAAAGGAGUUCAACUGGACACCAAUGAAGUGGAAUUGGAAAUUGC